CCCAUUCCGCAAGGAAGUAAGAUCCCUGAAAGAUGAUCAGGUUGAUAGGUCUGAGGUGGAAGUGUGGCGACACAUGGAGCUGACAGAUACUAAUCGAUCGAGGACUUAACCAUAUUU
rnacentral:rRNA from 1 species